rnacentral:misc_RNA from 1 species
AGUCGUCGGAGACCAGCAGCGAACCAUCCUUCAUUUGAUGAACGUCCACCGGGCGGCCAACGUAGUUGUUGUUUUCGAUAAAGCCGGUCAGGAAUGGCUCCACCGAUUUAACCGUGCCGUCCUUGUUCAGCUUCACGGCAACAACGUCACCGCCCUCCUUCUUACUCUUGUUCCAGGACCCGUGGCGCGCAACGAGAAUGACGUUCUUGUACGCACUGGGGAACAUGCUUCCGGUAUAAAACCGCA